UACGUAGGCAGCGAGCGUUGUUCGGAAUUACUGGGCGUAAAGAGUGUGUAGGCGGUGUUCCCAGUCUGUUGUGAAAUCUCCCGGCUUAACUGGGAGGGUGCAGCGGAAACUAGAAUGCUAGAGGGUGGGAGAGGUAAGCGGAAUUCCUGGUGUAGCGGUGAAAUGCGUAGAUAUCAGGAGGAGCACCUGUGGUGUAGACAGCUUACUGGACCACUUCUGACGCUGAGGCGCGAAAGCGUGGGGAGCAAACAGG
rnacentral:rRNA from 1 species